rnacentral:rRNA from 1 species
UAGGGAAUCUUCGGCAAUGGGGGGAACCCUGACCGAGCAACGCCGCGUGAGUGAAGAAGGAUUUCGGUUCGUAAAACUCUGUUGUUAGAGAAGAACAGCGCAUAGAGUAACUGUUAUGCGUGUGACGGUAUCUAACCAGAAAGCCACGGCUAACUACGUGCCAGCAGCCGCGGUAAUACGUAGGUCCCGAGCGUUGUCCGGAUUUAUUGGGCGUAAAGCGAGCGCAGGCGGUUAGAAAAGUCUGAAGUGAAAGGCAGUGGCUCAACCAUUGUAGGCUUUGGAAACUGUUUAACUUGAGUGCAGAAGGGGAGAGUGGAAUUCCAUGUGUAGCGGUGAAAUGCGUAGAUAUAUGGAGGAACACCGGUGGCGAAAGCGGCUCUCUGGUCUGUAACUGACGCGGAGGCUCGAAAGCGUGGGGAGCGAACAGG